UACGUAGGUGGCAAGCGUUGUCCGGAAUUAUUGGGCGUAAAGAGCGCGCAGGCGGUCGUACAAGUCGCGUGUGAAAGCCCCCGGCUCAACUGGGGAGGGUCACGCGAUACUGUUCGACUCGAAGGCAGGAGAGGGAAGUGGAAUUCCCGGUGUAGUGGUGAAAUGCGUAGAUAUCGGGAGGAACACCAGUGGCGAAGGCGACUUCCUGGCCUGUUCUUGACGCUGAGGCGCGAAAGCUAGGGUAGCAAACGGG
rnacentral:rRNA from 1 species